rnacentral:rRNA from 1 species
GACGAAGGGGGCAAGCGUCGUUCGGAAUUACUGGGCGUAAAGCGCGUGUAGGUGGUUGUCAUAGUCAGGCGUGAAAGCCUUGAGCUCAACUCAAGAAAUGCGCUUGAUACUGGGCAGCUAGAGGACCGGAGAGGAUAGUGGAAUUCCCAGUGUAGUGGUGAAAUACGUAGAGAUUGGGAAGAACACCAGUGGCGAAGGCGGCUAUCUGGACGGUUUCUGACACUAAGACGCGAAAGCGUGGGGAGCAAACAGG